GGGCUCGCUUCGGCAGCACACAUACUAAAACCGGAACGGCACAGAGAAGGUGGGCAGGGCGCCUGCGCAAGGACGACACGCAAACUCGUGCAGCGCUCCGUGUUUAA
ensembl:snRNA U6 U6 spliceosomal RNA